AACAAGGUUUCCGUAGGUGAACCUGCGGAAGGAUCAUUAAUGAACUUUG
rnacentral:rRNA from 1 species